rnacentral:rRNA from 1 species
UACGUAGGGCGCAAGCGUUGUCCGGAAUUAUUGGGCGUAAAGCGCUCGUAGGCGGUCUGUCGCGUCGGCUGUGAAAACCCGAGGCUCAACCUCGGGCCUGCAGUCGAUACGGGCAGACUAGAGUGCUGUAGGGGAGACUGGAAUUCCUGGUGUAGCGGUGAAAUGCGCAGAUAUCAGGAGGAACACCGGUGGCGAAGGCGGGUCUCUGGGCAGUAACUGACGCUGAGGAGCGAAAGCGUGGGGAGCAAACAGG